GGGCCCGCACAAGCGGUGGAGCAUGUGGUUUAAUUCGAUGAUACGCGAGGAACCUUACCAGGGCUUAAAUGUAGGUUGCAUGAUCUAGAGAUAGAUCUUUCUUCGGACUACCUACAAGGUGCUGCAUGGUUGUCGUCAGCUCGUGCCGUGAGGUGUCAGGUUAAGUCCUAUAACGAGCGCAACCCCUGUCGUUAGUUACCAGCAAUUAAAGUUGGGUACUCUAGCGAGACUGCCGGUGCAAACCGUGAGGAAGGUGGGGAUGACGUCAAAUCAUCACGGCCCUUACGUCCUGGGCUACACACGUGCUACAAUGGCCGGUACAGAGAGCAGCCACUACGCGAGUAGGAGCGAAUCUUCAAAGCCGGUCUCAGUUCGGAUCGCAGUCUGCAACUCGACUGCGUGAAGCUGGAAUCGCUAGUAAUCGGAUAU
rnacentral:rRNA from 1 species